rnacentral:rRNA from 1 species
CCUACGGGCGGCAGCAGUGAGGAAUAUUGGUCAAUGGACGAGAGUCUGAACCAGCCAAGUCGCGUGAAGGAUGACUGCCCUAUGGGUUGUAAACUUCUUUUAUAUGGGAAUAAAAUGUUCCACGUGUGGGAUUUUGUAUGUACCAUAUGAAUAAGGAUCGGCUAACUCCGUGCCAGCAGCCGCGGUAAUACGGAGGAUCCGAGCGUUAUCCGGAUUUAUUGGGUUUAAAGGGUGCGUAGGUGGCUUGUUAAGUCAGUUGUGAAAGUUUGCGGCUCAACCGUAAAAUUGCAGUUGAAACUGGGAGUCUUGAGUACAGUAGAGGUGGGCGGAAUUCGUGGUGUAGCGGUGAAAUGCUUAGAUAUCACGAAGAACUCCGAUUGCGAAGGCAGCUCACUGGACUACAACUGACACUGAGGCUCGAAAGUGUGGGUAUCAAACAGGAUUAGAUACCCGAGUAGUC